rnacentral:rRNA from 1 species
UACGUAGGGUGCAAGCGUUAAUCGGAAUUACUGGGCGUAAAGCGUGCGCAGGCGGUUCGUCGUGUCUGAUGUGAAAGCCCCGGGCUCAACCUGGGAAUGGCAUUGGAAACUGGCGGACUAGAGUGUGGCAGAGGGGGGUGGAAUUCCGCGUGUAGCAGUGAAAUGCGUAGAGAUCCGGAAGAACACCGGUGGCGAAGGCGGCCUGCUGGGCAGUUUUGCUGACACUGAGGCGCGACAGCGUGGGGAGCAAACAGG